ACUAAGAGUGACGUCAUAAAGCUUCCAUUGCUGGACGCCAAGCCUCCGGGGACUUUGGGUCAGACAUUUAUCCAAACCAUAUCAAUGUCUAUGGUCCGGUGUUGUCUAUUUCAGGUUGAGUCAGAUGUUGACAGAGUAUGAAGGCCCAUCAGGGCCAUAGAGCAGUAGAGUAGCCUUUGAGUCGGCCUCUUAGUGUGAUUCAGGUAUGGGGUAUAACCAGAACAUUUAGUCUGACUGCUGCACACGGCCUGUCUGAUAACCCCAUCCUGUCCAGCAUGGUGUCUGCACGCUGAACAUUCUUAGCAGAUGGUGGGCUCUAUGCUCAUUACUCUUAAUACGAUUUAUUACCACUGAAGGGACUCGAGGAUAAAAGGAAAACCUGCCAAUAGUGUCACUGGGGCAACAAGCCAGCAGAGCUAUUCUUGGAAAUGUGGAGCUUCGGGCAUGGGACCUUUGAGCAUGAAGCAGCAAAUGGCAAAUACAGUGCAGAUUCCCCUAGGCAGCGUGGUGCUUAGGCUCAUCCUUUACACACCAUGAUGAUGUAAUCCCACCAGCUCCGCUCGGACGCACUUCCUCCUGGAAGAACGUUUACCAGAGUCAGUCUAUGCUAAGUCUGUCACGAUCUAAUUCAGAUGAUGUUCUGCUGCGUGCGUAACUGGAACAUCCCAAGGGAAGGGUCUACGUGAUUUAAUUUUGUACUAUAGCAUCCAGCACACUUCCCGGUUUUAUGAUGUAUGUUUGUAUCAGAUAGAGUAGGCUGGGUUUUUGCCGCAGUACAAAGAUGUGCUUUCAGAUUUUGGCAGCUUAUUUUAACCAAGGGUUACUUUCUUGCCCAUGUCAUUUGUUCUCUGUUGGUCCUGAUGUUGUUUGUCCUCUGUUGGUCGGCAUAGGGAGGAGUUCACUGACUCCUCAUCUGAGACCUAGGGUGUAGGGCAAGUUUUGAACGGAAUGUUGAAAUCCUCUUGAUAGAGCCACAGUAUGGAGCCCCAGGCUGCCUCUCAAAGCUCCUCAGAACAAUUACUUCCACUUAUACCUCAUGACAAACCAAACCACGCAGUCAAGCUGACCUCCUGAGAAGAAGGGAAAUACCAUUCUCCCUCACGGAAGAAGAGAAAAGGUUUUUGAACAAGAAUACAAUCUUCUACAGUGCCCAGGUCAAGGUUGGUUCUGAGCAGGCGGAGACAGAGACAUGAGCUCUAUCACAGCCCGUAGGGAAGUGUGUUCGGGCCCUCGCUGAGAGACUACCGUAGUUCCCCCUGCCCCUGGAGCUAUGAUGAAGUAUUUUGAUAAAAGUCACUUAAGAGGUGGAACUGCAUAGGAUGCAUCCUUCUGAUGGCUUCUUUCGCUUGGCAACGUGUUCAGUUUCCCCUGUGUCUUCUCCUAGAUCGAACAUUCAUUUUGCUUGCUGAGUAACACCUGGGUGCAGGUACUGAAUUCCAGGUCAAGGGUUCUGCUGAAGUGGAAUUAAAAUAAAAUGUGGCUUACACAGUGUGCUGCAGGAGAUGGACUAAACACACCACGGUCCUCACAAGUGAAAGUUUAGUGAAUGACCUGCCACACGGUCUCUCAUGAAAUAUCUGGGUAGAGUUUUCUCUUAUAGGGUACCUUUUUUUUCCAUUUUGGGGAGUUUCCCCAUUGUCACAGAAAAUCCCAUUCGAGGGGUUUCGCUAAAUGUUGGACUCUAUUAGUGAAGAGAGAUCUUCCUGUUGAAACACAGGACUGGAUUUUUGAGUGGAGCAAGAGUGUCCCCUUCACAGAACAUGUUCACGAAUCAAAGCCCUGUAGGAGGAACUGGCAUUUCUUGCUAUCGCAUCGACUCCAGUGGCUGAGUCUUUGGCCUGAAAGGAUCCCUCCAUGCUAAAUGAAGAAGACCUGAUAGAGGAGAGCAAAGAAGAGAAGUGGGAAAUGGAGAGAAUUCAAAGAGCCAGUUCAGAGACUGCCGAGAGGAGAGAUCCAGCUGACUCUGGUUUUCUGUUGUUGAGAAAUAGUCACUGUCCCACAGAAGCUGCCACAGGUGUAACAAUGUGGAGAGAACUCUGUGUGUGUGUUAAUGUAUGUAUUUAUGUGCAUGGGUGUGAUGUGUGUUUGUGUUGUGUGUAUAUGUGUGUGAUGUAUGUGUUUGUGAUAUGUGUGUGUGUGAUGUGUGUGUUUGUGUGAUGUGUGUGUUAAUGUGUGUUUAUGUGUAAGUGUGUGAUGUGUGUGUGAUGUGUGUGGUGUGUGUAGGUGUGUGUGAUCUGUGUGUUUGUGUGAUGUGUGUGUUAAUGUGUGUUUAUGUGUAUGUGUGUGAUGUGUGUGGUGUGUGUAGGUGUGUGUGAUGUGUGUGUGUGUGUGUGUGUGUGCAUGUGUGAAUGUUGUGGAGGUAGUUUUGACUGUCUAAGGACAAAGGAUUCAAGGUUGGGCAUCCUCAUAUGGACUGGUCAGCAUGGAGAGGUCUCACAGAUAACUGGCUGAAUAUCUAGACCCGAAGGUCAGGCUCUUGUACUCCAUAGGGGCUCCACGAUCUAGGUAUUUUGUUCUUUAAAAACAGUGCAAGUUCUCAGAAGUUCAGUACAACGGGGUUUUACUUUCUGAGAAAUCUGUUCUCCUAGAUACUUUUAAGUUUUCAUUUUACUUUUUAAGUUUUAGGGAUGAAAUAAAAGUCUGUUUCCAGUUUCGU